rnacentral:misc_RNA from 1 species
GAUCAAGAUAUAUGUUAUUCCUGGUGUGCAGCACGUCCAUUGGCACAGCAACCGUACCGUGUUCAACAGUGCUAUAUUGCCAUGGCUGAUUUAGAGGAUAUAGAUGGAAUCCAAUAUGAAAUAAUCUCCUAAGCAUGCAGUUAAUAACAAUGAUCAGAAAUUAGAUCUAUUGACGCAAAUUAACAAGCACAGGGGGAAAUCAUUUUUGUAGAAUGUUUACUUAAUAAAUUGAUAUUAAAGUGAAAUUCAAUGCAUUUACGAUUGACUCCAUCAGUAGGACUCAUUGAAAUAUUUCCAUUGUACAAAUUCAUAAUUUUUCACUCUGUUCAUUUCUUACACGCAUAUAUUAUGAAUAAAUAGGAUUGACAUA